rfam:Brassica napus, WGS project CCCW01000000 data, contig: 17720
GUAAUAUAAGAAUCCGUCUCUUAACUUUUAAUUAAAAAAGAUAAGAACCGUCUAUUAAAACUUUAUUUAAGAGCUAGUUUUUAACUUUUUUUAGUUAAAAGUUAAGAGACAGAUUCUUAUAUUUC